rnacentral:lncRNA from 1 species
AAAGAGACAUCGGGAGGACUCCGAUGAGGAAAUGAUGGAAAAUGAUUCCCGGAAGGAAAUGACAGCUGCUUGCUACCCCCGGAGGAGGAUCAUUAACCUCACCAGUGUUUUGAGUCUCCAGGAAGAAAUUAACGACCGGGGUCAUGAGAGUACCUCUCCGGGAGAUGCUCCGUAACCAUACCUUUGUGGGCUGUGUGAAUCCUCAGUGGGCCUUGGCACAGCACCAGACCAAGCUCUACCUCCUCAACACUACCAAGCUCAGGUAAAUCUACACAGGAAAGCAGUGGAGCCACCGGACGAGCAGUCUCUGGGGAAAGGCACCAAUGCUGGGGGGUGGAGGAGCAGGUCAAGUGGCUGGAAAGUGACAGAUGUGAGUUCAAAUCCAGGGUUGACCAUUUCUUAUUUACAUGAUGAGGAAUUUCUUUUCUAUUCUGUAUUUCAUGUGUCUAAUAUAUAUAGGUUAGUAAGACUCAAUUUGACUGGAAUUUUGUGGGGAUCAGUAACUUGAG